CCUACGGGGGGCAGCAGUGGGGAAUAUUGGACAAUGGGGGGAACCCUGAUCCAGCCAUGCCGCGUGUGUGAAGAAGGCCCUCGGGUUGUAAAGCACUUUCAGUGAGGAAGAACGCCUGGUGGUUAAUACCCAUCAGGAAAGACAUCACUCACAGAAGAAGCACCGGCUAACUCCGUGCCAGCAGCCGCGGUAAUACGGAGGGUGCGAGCGUUAAUCGGAAUUACUGGGCGUAAAGCGCGCGUAGGUGGCUUGAUAAGCCGGUUGUGAAAGCCCCGGGCUUAACCUGGGAACGGCAUCCGGAACUGUCAAGCUAGAGUGCAGGAGAGGAAGGUAGAAUUCCCGGUGUAGCGGUGAAAUGCGUAGAGAUCGGGAGGAAUACCAGUGGCGAAGGCGGCCUUCUGGACUGACACUGACACUGAGGUGCGAAAGCGUGGGUAGCAAACAGGAUUAGAUACCCUAGUAGUC
rnacentral:rRNA from 1 species